CUACGUGCCAAGCACUGAUGCUAUGUGGAUCAGCCUAUAAGGGGCACAGAAAGACUGAUGGCUCUCGAGUUCCCUUGAAAUCCAGUUUUUCAACAUCCAUCCUGAAUUGUGGACACCAGAAAUAAGCAUUCCAAGAGUGGGCAAGCACUACACGUAGAAUUCAUCUUCAGCUGAUUAUCCACCAACUCUCCCAAGUUUUCAGAGUUACUGUUUCCAAAGAGUCCCCCAUCCUAAAUGUGAUUGGCUGACUGAGAGACACCAUUUUUGAGGACUAUAAUGAUCUGGAAGAGGGAAGGACAAAUUUUCUUAGUCAUACCUCUCAGCCUCAGACCUGCCAAUGUAAGGUAGAAUCAACCUAUAUGUGUGACAAGUAACUGAAACGUGGAACCAUUCUGUUUAGAUGCACAUCACACCAUAAUUGCCUGCC